ACCCAGCUGAUGAGUUCUAAAUGGAACGAAACAUGCGUCCUGGAU
rnacentral:hammerhead_ribozyme from 1 species